rnacentral:rRNA from 1 species
AGGGAGGAGCCCAGCGCCGAAUCCCCGGCCUUCGGUCKYGGGAAAUGUGGCGUUCAGGAGUGAGCGUGCCGAGAUCGGAAGGGGCGGCAAGUCCCCCUGACCGGGGCCUGUCCGUAGCGGGUGCSAGGCCCAUAGYCGCCYKYUCCGWCUCGGAUGCGAUCUCCUUGGAGUCGGGUUGCUUGGRAGUGCAGCCCUAAUCGCGUGGUAAACUCCACGUAAGGCUAAAUACCSCCGUGAGACCGAUAGCAAACAAGUACCGUGAGGGAAAGUUGCAAAGAACUUUGAAGAGAGAGUUCAAGAGUACGUGAAACUGCUCAGAGGUAAACGGGUGGGCCCUCGAAAUCCUGUGGCGAGAGGAUUCAGUCUGGUGUUGCGGACGUGGAGCCGGAAGUUUUCAGUAGGGCUUCCAGGCGACUGGGCCGUCUGGAUCCGCGUCUUCCGCCGUCCCAGAUGCAAUUCUCUCUCGUCCGAAGGACGUCGCAGCCGGUUGGGCAGUGCAAGCACGUCGGCCUGAAGGCGGGGAGUCGGCAGGUGGCCGGUGACGAGUUUCCAUUCGCCAUCGGUUGUUAGCCAUCCCCUCAGUGGCUCGAUGUCCGACCGUGGUCUCUCGAGGCCCUGAAAGGGCCUUUCUCGUCUCCAUCCCAGCGGGACAGACGGUUGCAGGCGAACUUCGUUCUCGCGUCGCACUCUUUGGGAGUGGUAGUGAGAACGGAGUGCGCCGUUGGUGACUGCGGGCCCGUGGGGGACCGGAGGCUAGCGGCGAGUAGGUCGGUCACCCUCCCGACCCGUCUUGAAACACGGACCAAGGAGUCUAACAUGUACGCGAGUCAAUGGGUCUUGAACAGGCCCACGGGCGCAAUGAAAGCGAAAUUCGUGUCGAGAUCCUCUCUCUCCGGGGAGGGGCGCACCGACGACCCGUCCUAUUCGGCUCGCCGUUUGGACGGAGUCUGAGCGUACACGUUGGGACCCGAAAGAUGGUGAACUAUGCCCGGACAGGACGAAGCCAGAGGAAACUCUGGUGGAGGUCCGAAGCGGUUCUGACGUGCAAAUCGAUCGUCAGAUCUGGGU